rnacentral:rRNA from 1 species
UACGUAGGGGGCUAGCGUUGUCCGGAAUCAUUGGGCGUAAAGGGCGCGUAGGCGGUCCGAUAAGUCCUGUGUGAAAUCCCUCGGCUCAACUGAGGAACUGCACGGGAGACUGUCGGGCUUGAGUUCGGGAGAGGGAAGCGGAAUUCCGGGUGUAGCGGUGAAAUGCGUAGAUAUCGAGAGGAACACCUGCGGCGAAGGCGGGUAGCUGGGCCGACACUGACGCUGAGGCGCGAAAGCCAGGGGAGCGAACGGG